rnacentral:rRNA from 1 species
CUACGGGGUGCUCCAGUGGGGGAUAUUGCACAAUGGAGGAAACUCUGAUGCAGCAACGCCGCGUGAAGGAAGACGGUUUUCGGAUUGUAAACUUCUAUCAGCUGGGAAGAAAAUGACGGUACCAGACUAAGAAGCCCCGGCUAACUACGUGCCAGCAGCCGCGGUAAUACGUAGGGGGCAAGCGUUAUCCGGAUUUACUGGGUGUAAAGGGUUCGUAGGCGGUUAUUUAAGUCAGAUGUGAAAGCCCGAGGCUCAACCUCGGGACUGCAUUUGAAACUGGAUAACUAGAGUACAGGAGAGGAAAGCGGAAUUCCUAGUGUAGCGGUGAAAUGCGUAGAUAUUAGGAAGAACACCAGUGGCGAAGGCGGCUUUCUGGACUGUAACUGACGCUGAUGAACGAAAGCGUGGGGAGCGAACAGGAUUAGAUACCCUAGUAGUC